rnacentral:rRNA from 1 species
GACGAACGCUGGCGGCGUGCCUAAUACAUGCAAGUUGAGCGCUGAAGGUUGGUACUUGUACCAACUGGAUGAGCAGCGAACGGGUGAGUAACGCGUGGGGAAUCUGCCUUUGAGCGGGGGACAACAUUUGGAAACGAAUGCUAAUACCGCAUAAAAACUUUAAACACAAGUUUUAAGUUUGAAAGAUGCAAUUGCAUCACUCAAAGAUGAUCCCGCGUUGUAUUAGCUAGUUGGUGAGGUAAAGGCUCACCAAGGCGAUGAUACAUAGCCGACCUGAGAGGGUGAUCGGCCACAUUGGGACUGAGACACGGCCCAAACUCCUACGGGAGGCAGCAGUAGGGAAUCUUCGGCAAUGGACGAAAGUCUGACCGAGCAACGCCGCGUGAGUGAAGAAGGUUUUCGGAUCGUAAAACUCUGUUGGUAGGGAAGAACGUUGGUGAGAGUGGAAAGCUCAUCAAGUGACGGUAACUACCCAGAAAGGAACGGCUAACUACGU